GAUGAACGCUGGCGGCGUGCCUAAUACAUGCAAGUCGAGCGAAUGGAUUGAGAGCUUGCUCUUAUGAGGUUAGCGGCGGACGGGUGAGUAACACGUGAGUAACCUGCCCAUAAGACUGGGAUAACUCCGGGAAACCGGGGCUAAUACCGGAUAACAUUUUGAACCGCAUGGUUCGAAAUUGAAAGGCGGCGUCGGCUGUCACUUAUGGAUGGACCCGCGUCGCAUUAGCUAGUUGGUGAGGUAACGGCUCACCAAGGCAACGAAGCGUAGCCGACCUGAGAGGGUGAUCGGCCACACUGGGACUGAGACACGGCCCAGACUCCUACGGGAGGCAGCAGUAGGGAAUCUUCCGCAAUGGACGAAAGUCUGACGGAGCAACGCCGCGUGAGUGAUGAAGGCUUUCGGGUCGUAAAACUCUGUUGUUAGGGAAGAACAAGUGCUAGUUGAAUAAGCUGGCACCUUGACGGUACCUAACCAGAAAGCCACGGCUAACUACGUGCCAGCCGCCGCAGUAA
rnacentral:rRNA from 1 species